rnacentral:rRNA from 1 species
AUUGAACGCUGGCGGCAUGCUUUACACAUGCAAGUCGAACGGUAACAGGUUAAGCUGACGAGUGGCGAACGGGUGAGUAAUGCAUCGGAACGUGCCCGAUCGUGGGGGAUAACGCAGCGAAAGCUGCGCUAAUACCGAAUACGAUCUGAGGAUGAAAGCGGGGGACCGUAAGGCCGCGCGCGAUCGGCGGGGCCGCUGUCAGAUUAGGUAGUUGGUGGGGUAAAGGCUCACCAAGCCAACGAUCUGUAGCUGGGCUGUGAGGACGACCCGCCACACUGGGACUGAGACACGGCCCAGACUCCUACGGGAGGCAGCAGUGGAGAAUUUUGGACAAUGGGCGAAAGCCUGAUCCAGCAAUGCCGCGUGCAGGAAGAAGGCCUUCGGGUUGUAACUGCUUUUGUACGGAGCGAAAAGGCUCUCUCUAAUACAGGGGGCUCAUGACGGUACCGUAAGAAUAAGCACCGGCUAACUACGUGCCAGCCGCCGCAGUAAUAC